AACGAACGCUGGCGGCAUGCCUAACACAUGCAAGUCGAACGAGAGGGCCCCGCAAGGGGCUAGUAAAGUGGCGCACGGGUGAGUAACACGUGGGUAAUCUGCCUUUUAGUUUGGGAUAACCCUUCGAAAGAAGGGCUAAUACCGGAGAGACCCACAGGGACAUCAGUCCUAGGGGGUUAAAGAUUGGGACCCGUAAGGCCAAUCGCUAUUAGAUGAGCCCGCGCACUAUCAGCUAGUUGGUGAGGUAAUGGCUCACCAAGGCUAUGACGGUUAGCUGGUCUGAGAGGAUGAUCAGCCACACUGGAACUGAGACACGGUCCAGACUCCUACGGGAGGCAGCAGUGGGGAAUCUUGCACAAUGGGCGAAAGCCUGAUGCAGCAAUGCCGCGUGAGUGAUGAAGGCCCUAGGGUUGUAAAACUCUUUCGUGGGGGACGAUAAUGACGGUACCCCAAGAAGAAGCUCCGGCUAACUUCGUGCCAGCAGCCGCGGUAAU
rnacentral:rRNA from 1 species